GGUAGCCGGCCUGAGAGGGCGACCGGCCACACUGGGACUGAGACACGGCCCAGACUCCUACGGGAGGCAGCAGUGGGGAAUAUUGCACAAUGGGCGAAAGCCUGAUGCAGCGACGCCGCGUGAGGGAUGACGGCCUUCGGGUUGUAAACCUCUUUCAGUAGGGAAGAAGCGAAAGUGACGGUACCUGCAGAAGAAGCGCCGGCUAACUACGUGCCAGCAGCCGCGGUAAUACGUAGGGCGCAAGCGUUGUCCGGAAUUAUUGGGCGUAAAGAGCUCGUAGGUGGCUUGUCGCGUCUGCCGUGAAAACCCGAGGCUCAACCUCGGGCGUGCGGUGGGUACGGGCAGGCUAGAGUGUGGUAGGGGAGACUGGAACUCCUGGUGUAGCGGUGAAAUGCGCAGAUAUCAGGAAGAACACCGAUGGCGAAGGCAGGUCUCUGGGCCAUUACUGACACUGAGGAGCGAAAGCAUGGGUAGCGAACAGGAUUAGAUACCCUGGUAGUCCAUGCCGUAAACGUUGGGCACUAGAUGUGGGGAACAUUCCACGUUUUCCGCGUCGUAGCUAACGCAUUAAGUGCCCCGCCUGGGGAGUACGGCCGCAAGGCUAAAACUCAAAGGAAUUGACGGGGGCCCGCACAAGCGGCGGAGCAUGCUGAUUAAUUCGAUGCAACGCGAAGAACCUUACCAAGGCUUGACAUGCACCGGACGACUCCAGAGAUGGGGUUUUCUUCGGACUGGUGCACAGGUGGUGCAUGGUUGUCGUCAGCUCGUGUCGUGAGAUGUUGGGUUAAGUCCCGCAACGAGCGCAACCCUUGUUCUAUGUUGCCAGCACGUGAUGGUGGGGACUCAUAGGAGACUGCCGGGGUCAACUCGGAGGAAGGUGGGGACGACGUCAAAUCAUCAUGCCCCUUAUGUCUUGGGCUUCAAGCAUGCUACAAUGGUCGGUACAAUGGGUUGCGAAACUGUGAGGUGGAGCGAAUCCCAAAAAGCCGGCCUCAGUUCGGAUUGGGGUCUGCAACUCGACCCCAUGAAGUCGGAGUCGCUAGUAAUCGCAGAUCAGCAACGCUGCGGUGAAUACGUUCCCGGGCCUUGUACACACCGCCCGUCAAGUCACGAAAGUCGGUAACACCCGAAGCCAGUGGCCCAUCCUCGUGAGGGAG
rnacentral:rRNA from 1 species